rnacentral:rRNA from 1 species
AGGUCAUCAUUGAAUAAACUUGCACAGGCUGUUGCUGGCCCUCCUUGGAGGGUAUCGUGCACGCUUGUCAUCUUUAUUUCUCCAACUGUGCACAUAUUGUAGACCUGGAUUUUUCUUUGAAAGUGAUUUCGAGUUGGGACUGCCGUGCUUCUUCUGGUCGGCUUUGCCUCUGUCAGGUCUAUGUCGUUUUUUCACAACCCCUUUGAUGUGUCUAGAAUGUUGAUAAAGUGUUAAAUAAUACAACUUUCAGCAACGGAUCUCUUGGCUCUCGCAUCGAUGAAGAACGCAGCGAAAUGCGAUAAGUAAUGUGAAUUGCAGAAUUCAGUGAAUCAUCGAAUCUUUGAACGCAUCUUGCGCUCCUUGGUAUUCUGAGGAGCAUGCCUGUUUGAGUGUCAUUCAAGUUCUCAACCACAAUCAAUUCGAUGUGGAUUGGAUUGUUGGGGGUGUGCAGGCGUCUUUUGAAGUCUGCUCCCCUGAAAUGCAUUAGUGGUAUCUGAAGCUUACUACAGGUGUGAUAAUUAUCUGCAUCUUAUGGCAAUGCUGGAAACCGCUUCUAAGCCCCACAUUUUUUAUGAAUUUGACCUCAAAUCAGGUAGGACUACCCGCUGAACUUAA